rnacentral:rRNA from 1 species
GACGUAGGUGGCGAACGUUAUCCGGAAUUAUUGGGCGUAAAGGGUGCGUAGGCGGCAUGAUAAGUUAUUGGCGGCAAAUCGAGGCUCAACCUCGUGGAAACUGAUAAUACUGUCUUGCUUGAGUGCAGAAGAGGUUAACGGAACUCCAUGUGGAGCGGUAAAAUGUGUAGAUAUAUGGAAGAACAUCAAUAACGGCGAAGGCAGUUAACUAUUCUGUUACUGACGUUGAGGCACGAAAGCGUGGGGAGCAAAAGGG